UACAGAGACCUCAAGCAUUAUCCGGAUUUACUGGGCGUAAAGCGUCCGCAGGUGGUCUAUUAAGUCAUUUGUCAAAUUUCGGUGCUCAACAUCGAAGCUGCGAGUGAUACUGGUAGACUUGAGGCUGGGAGAGGUAUGGGGAACUGCCGGUGUAGUAGUAAAAUGCGUUAAUAUCGGCAGGAACACCAAAGGCGAAGGCACCAUACUGGAACAGUCCUGACACUCAGGGACGAAAGCGUGGGGAGCAAAACGGG
rnacentral:rRNA from 1 species